rnacentral:rRNA from 1 species
UUUCCUACGGGGGGCAGCAGUGGGGAAUAUUGGGCAAUGGACGCAAGUCUGACCCAGCAACGCCGCGUGAAGGAAGAAGGCUUUCGGGUUGUAAACUUCUUUUAAGGGGGAAGAGCAGAAGACGGUACCCCUUGAAUAAGCCACGGCUAGCUACGUGCCAGCAGCCGCGGUAAUACGGAGGAUGCGAGCGUUAUCCGGAUUUAUUGGGUUUAAAGGGUGCGUAGGCGGGCUUUUAAGUCAGCGGUAAAAAUUCGGGGCUCAACCCCGUCCGGUCGUUGAAACUGGGGGCCUUGAGUGGGCGAGAA